rnacentral:rRNA from 1 species
AGUGAACGCUGGCGGUAGGCCUAACACAUGCAAGUCGAACGGCAGCACAGUAAGAGCUUGCUCUUACGGGUGGCGAGUGGCGGACGGGUGAGGAAUACAUCGGAAUCUACUUUUUCGUGGGGGAUAACGUAGGGAAACUUACGCUAAUACCGCAUACGACCUACGGGUGAAAGCAGGGGAUCUUCGGACCUUACGCGAUUGAAUGAGCCGAUGUCGGAUUAGCUAGUUGGCGGGGUAAAGGCCCACCAAGGCGACGAUCCGUAGCUGGUCUGAGAGGAUGAUCAGCCACACUGGAACUGAGACACGGUCCAGACUCCUACGGGAGGCAGCAGUGGGGAAUAUUGGACAAUGGGCGCAAGCCUGAUCCAGCCAUACCGCGUGGGUGAAGAAGGCCUUCGGGUUGUAAAGCCCUUUUGUUGGGAAAGAAAAGCAGCAGGUUAAUACGCCGCUGUUCUGACGGUACCCAAAGAAUAAGCACCGGCUAACUUCGUG